GCGCUCGUGGCGGAACUGGAAGACGCGCAGCGUUGAGGGCGCUGUGUCCUACCCACGGACGUGCCGGUUCGAUCCCGGCCGGGCGCACCA
rnacentral:tRNA from 1 species